UACAGAGGUCUCAAGCGUUGUUCGGAUUCAUUGGGCGUAAAGGGUGUGUAGGUGGCGCGCUAAGUCGGGUGUGAAAUUUCGGAGCUUAACUCCGAAACUGCAUUCGAUACUGCCGUGCUUGAGGACUGGAGAGGAGACUGGAAUUUACGGUGUAGCGGUGAAAUGCGUAGAUAUCGGGAGGAACACCAGUGGCGAAGGCGGCUCUCUGGACCUCUGCUGACGCUGAGGCGCGAAAGCGUGGGGAGCGAUCCGG
rnacentral:rRNA from 1 species